rnacentral:piRNA from 1 species
UUUUGAGGUUCAUCUCUUCUGCUUUGGGA